rnacentral:rRNA from 1 species
GACAGAGGUGCCGAGCGUUAGGCGGAAUCACUGGGCUUAAAGCGUGUGUAGGCGGACUUCUAAGUACCUUGUGAAAUCCCCCGGCUCAACCGGGGAACUGCUUGGUAUACUGGUUGUCUUGAGCCACUUAGGGCAGUCGGAACAGACGGUGGAGCGGUGAAAUGCGUAGAUAUCGUCUGGAACGCCAAAGGUGAAAACAGAACUGCUGGGAGUGGUGCUGACGCUGAGACACGAAAGCCAGGGAGCAA